UAGGGAAUCUUCGGCAAUGGACGAAAGUCUGACCGAGCAACGCCGCGUGAGUGAAGAAGGUUUUCGGAUCGUAAAACUCUGUUGUUAGAGAAGAACAAGGACGUUAGUAACUGAACGUCCCCUGACGGUAUCUAACCAGAAAGCCACGGCUAACUACGUGCCAGCAGCCGCGGUAAUACGUAGGUGGCAAGCGUUGUCCGGAUUUAUUGGGCGUAAAGCGAGCGCAGGCGGUUUCUUAAGUCGGAUGUGAAAGCCCCCGGCUCAACCGGGGAGGGUCAUUGGAAACUGGGAGACUUGAGUGCAGAAGGGGAGAGUGGAAUUCCAUGUGUAGCGGUGAAAUGCGUAGAUAUAUGGAGGAACACCAGUGGCGAAGGCGGCUCUCUGGUCUGUAACUGACGCUGAGGCUCGAAAGCGUGGGGAGCAAACAGG
rnacentral:rRNA from 1 species